UACGUAGGGGGCAAGCGUUGUCCGGAUUUAUUGGGCGUAAAGAGCGUGUAGGCGGCCAGGGAGGUCCGUUGUGAAAACUCGAGGCUCAACCUCGAGACGCCGAUGGAAACCCCCUGGCUAGAGUCCGGAAGAGGAGAGUGGAAUUCCUGGUGUAGCGGUGAAAUGCGCAGAUAUCAGGAAGAACACCCGUGGCUAAGGCGGCUCUCUAGUACGGUACUGACGCUGAGACGCGAAAGCGUGGGGAGCGAACGGG
rnacentral:rRNA from 1 species